GUGGGGAAUAUUGGGCAAUGGGCGAAAGCCUGACCCAGCAACGCCGCGUGAAGGAAGAAGGUUUUCGGAUUGUAAACUUCUGUCCUCAGGGAAGAAGGAAGUGACGGUACCUGAGGAGGAAGCCCCGGCUAACUACGUGCCAGCAGCCGCGGUAAUACGUAGGGGGCGAGCGUUGUCCGGAAUGACUGGGCGUAAAGGGCGCGUAGACGGCUGUCUAAGUCUGGAGUGAAAGUCCUGCUUUCAAGGUGGGAAUUGCUUUGGAGACUGGAUGGCUUGAGUGCGGAAGAGGUAAGUGGAAUUCCCAGUGUAGCGGUGAAAUGCGUAGAGAUUGGGAGGAACACCAGUGGCGAAGGCGACUUACUGGGCCGUAACUGACGUUGAUGCGCGAAAGCGUGGGGAGCGAACAGGAUUAGAAACCCUGGUAGUCC
rnacentral:rRNA from 1 species